rnacentral:rRNA from 1 species
UACGUAGGGUGCGAGCGUUAAUCGGAAUUACUGGGCGUAAAGCGUGCGCAGGCGGUUUGGUAAGACAGAUGUGAAAUCCCCGGGCUUAACCUGGGAACUGCAUUUGUGACUGCCCGGCUAGAGUGUGUCAGAGGGGGUAGAAUUCCACGUGUAGCAGUGAAAUGCGUAGAUAUGUGGAGGAAUACCGAUGGCGAAGGCAGCCCCCUGGGAUAACACUGACGCUCAUGCACGAAAGCGUGGGGAGCAAACAGG